rnacentral:rRNA from 1 species
CCUACGGGUUGCACCAGUGGGGAAUAUUGCACAAUGGGCGCAAGCCUGAUGCAGCCAUGCCGCGUGUGUGAAGAAGGCCUUCGGGUUGUAAAGCACUUUCAGCGAGGAGGAAGGUGGUGAGCUUAAUACUCUCAUCAAUUGACGUUACUCGCAGAAGAAGCACCGGCUAACUCCGUGCCAGCAGCCGCGGUAAUACGGAGGGUGCAAGCGUUAAUCGGAAUUACUGGGCGUAAAGCGCACGCAGGCGGUUUGUUAAGUCAGAUGCGAAAUCCCCGGGCUCAACCUGGGAACUGCGUUUGAAACUGGCAGGCUAGAGUCUCGUAGAGGGGGGUAGAAUUCCAGGUGUAGCGGUGAAAUGCGUAGAGAUCUGGAGGAAUACCGGUGGCGAAGGCGGCCCCCUGGACGAAGACUGACGCUCAGGUGCGAAAGCGUGGGGAGCAAACAGGAUUAGAUACCCGGGUAGUC